UGUAGUGUGUGUAUAGUGAAUGCAGUGUGUAUAGUGAAUGUAGUGUUUUUGUAGUGAGUGCAGAGUGUGUAUAAUGAAUGCAGAGUGUGUAUAGUGAAUGUAGUGUGUUUGUAGUGAGUGGAGUGUGUAUAAUGAAUGUAGUGUGUUUGUAGUGAGUGCAGUGUGUACAAUGAAUGCAGUGUAAGUAGUGUGUUUGUAGUGAAUGCAGAGUGUGUAUAGUGAAUGUAGUGUGUAGUGAGUGCAGAAUGUGUAUAAUGAAUGCAGAGUGUGUAUAGUAAAUGCAGAGGGUGUAUAGUGAAUGUAGUGUGUUUGUAGUGAGUGUAUAGUGAAUGUAGUGUGUUUGUAGUGAGUGAAGAGUGUGUAUAAUGAAUGCAGUGUGUGCAUGUGCUGGAUGACGUGUGUGCGCGCUGGAUGACGUGUGUGUGAGUGCUGGAUGAUGUGUGUGUGAGUG